rnacentral:SRP_RNA from 1 species
CUUAGGUCCUCCCGCAAUGCUAAACCACGAACCCCGCCAGGCCCGGAAGGGAGCAACGGUAGUGGUGGUCGCGUGUGCCGGGAUGUGGCUUUUGGGG